ensembl:lncRNA THUMPD3-AS1 THUMPD3 antisense RNA 1
GCUCCGGCUCCUCAGAGAGCCUCGGCUAGGUGUGGAAACAGGAAGAGAACUAGAACUGGAAGUAAAGCAUUGAAGAUGUGACUGAAUUGCUGCAAUCUCAUGAUCAAAUUUGAAUGGAUGAGGAGUUGCUUUUUAGGGAUGAGCAAAGAAAGUGGUUUCUCGAGAUGGAAUCUACUGGUGAAGUUGCUGUGAACAUUGUUAAAAUGCCAAUAAAGGAUUUAGGAAUUACAGAAACCUGGUUGAUAAAGCAGUGCCAGGGUGUGAGAGAGUUGACUUCAAUUUUGAAAUAAGUUCCACUGGCUGGGUGUGGUGGCUCACACCUGCAAUCCCAGUACUUUAGGAGGCCGAGACUGGUAGAUCAUUUGAGGUCAGGAGUUCAAGACCAGCCUUGCCAACAUGGUGAAACCCCACCUCUACCAAAUUAGCCAGGUGUGGUGCACACCUGUAGUCCCAGCUACUUGGGAAGCUGAGGCAGGAGAAUCUCUUGAACCAGGGAGGAGGAGGUUGCAGUAAGCCGAGAUGGCGCCCCUGCACUCCAGCCUGGGUGACAGAGUGAGACCUUGCGUUUAAAAAAAAAAAAAAAGGAAAAGGAAAAAAAAGUUCUACUGUGGGUAAAAUGCUAUCAUGCUAUCAAACAGCAUCACAUGCUACAGAGAAGUCUUGUGAAAGGAUGUCAGUGUGGCAAACUUCAUUGUCUUUUAAGAAAUUGCCACAGCUAUCGUAAUCUUCAACCACCACCACCCUGAUGAGUUGCUCCUUGAGGGCAGGACAGUUCUUAUGGCUUUAUCCGUUGCGUAAGCACAGAGAGGUCUGCGAGGUCAAAACUAUUGUCAUGAUAGCAAGAUGCCUGUCUUUUUCAUUUAUUCUCACGGUGUGCAGAGGCUACAUGAUGUGUGAUGACAUCCUCAUUGAUGUUAAUGAAUGGUGCUAUACUUGAAUUUUCUAAGGUGUCAUUAGGUAGGUUUAGGUAUGCAUACUUGUUUUUAGAAAUUAUUUUUUUCCUUUUUCCCAUUUUUAGAAAUCAACUCAUUUUUUAGGUUAUGCCUUCAGUAAUCUUUGCAACCUCAAUAUUGUGUAAUGGUUACUUUAAAAUACUGUAGUUUUCUUUGUGCCUAAGUAUAAACAUAAGUACAUUUUGUUGUUUUGUUUGCAAUAGUGGUUUAAAUAUUUUCCCAAAAUAUCCAAAUUUAAAAAUUCUACAACUUUAGAAUUUAAUAAAUUUAUUCUAAAAUAUUUAUAUAUUUUUUCAUUUAAGAAUGGAUCGGCUUAAAAAGACUGCUUCUCAUUUACUUACUGGCUAUACCAUCUGUAUACUAAUAAAAAACAAGAUUUGAUUUGGAAGGACUGACUCAAACUAACGAAAAUAUGAAACCUGUCUUUCUGCUUUGGAGAUAUUUACCUAAUCAUGUUCUGCAGUAGAAUAAUUUAGUUCUUUUGUCUUUUUUUGGAGAUGAGGUCUUGCUGUGUUGCCCAGGCUAUUCACAGCUGCCAUCAUAGUGAACUACAGCCUGAAACUCCUGGGUUCAAGAGAUCCUUCUGCCUCAGCCUCCUGAGUAGCUGGAACUAUAGGCAUGCGCCACCAAGCCUGGGCUUUUAAAAAAAUUUUAAAAAGAAUUUUGAGACAGGAUCUUGCCAUGUUGCUCAGGCUAGUCUUCAACUCCUAGCCCUGAGUGAUCUUGCUUUGGGCCUCUCAAAAUGUUGAGUUAAUAGGCGUGAGCCACCAUACCCAGCCAAAAAUUUUUUUAGAGAUGGGAAUGGAAUGAUCUUGAAUAGUGUUGGUGCCACCUAUGUUGUGGCAUCAUUUUGAAACCAAUCAUUCAGAGUGCUUUUUUUGGUAAGGCAUUAUUUUUUAAUGCAGGUAUGCCACUACUGGGAAAAAAAAAAAAACAGGUUUUAAAGCUAGAAAUGAAAAGCUACUUAAGUAUCUUAAAGGAUAAGUUACUUUAUUAUACACUAGAAACAUACACAAUAGCUGAAAAACUUAAAAAAUCUCACACUGCUGAAUGUCUCUGCUGGCUGAAGUGUAAGUAAAAGAUCAUAGUAGUGCCGCUGUUGAGUGAUAAAGCAACUUGUCAUUAAAGAUGUGUGUGCAGACAUGGAUUCUGAGUUAAUAUCUCAUCUGUAGAAGUAUAUAUUUGUCCCUUGCUUUGGGAUUGGUUUCUGGACAGCACUCCCCCACCCUUGCUGGCCAUUUGCCAAGGACACCAAAACCCAAGGAUGUUGAAUUCCCUUUUAUAAAAUGGCGCUGUAUCUGCAUACAACUUACACACAUCCUCCCAUAUACUUUAAAUC